GUGAUCAGCACUGAACACAGACACUCACCAUGGAGUCUGGGCUCCGCUGGCUUUUCCUUUUUGCUGUAUUAAAAGGUGUCCAGUGUGAGGUGCAGCUGGUGGAGUCUGGGGGAGGCUUGGUCCAGCCUGGGGGGUCCCUGAGACUCUCCUGUGCAGCCUCCGGAUUCACCUUCAGUAACUACUGGAUGAACUGGGUCCGCCAGGCUCCAGGGAAGGGGCUGGAGUGGGUUGGUUUUAUUAGAAACCAGGCUAAUGGUGGGACAGCAGAAUAUGCUGCAUCUGUGAAAGGCAGAUUCACCAUCUCACGGGAUGAUUCCAAAAGCACCGUCUCUCUGCAAAUGAACAGUCUGAGAGCCGAAGACACGGACCUGUACUACUGUGCCAGUGACACAGUGAGGGGACAUCAGUGUGAGCCCAGAAGCUUCAAGAGUGUCCAUCCCCUACACAUCUUAGGUGAUAUUCAGGGAAACCAGUUUGAUGAGCUGAGCUGCCACGUCCUGAUCACUGUCCAAGAACCAGCUGUCCCUGCAGCUGAGCUCUGUGCCCACGAAGGGCAGUGCCGGAUUCACCAUGGGACACACAGUGAGGGGACAUCAGUGCGGGCCCAGACACAGACCUCCCUGCAGGGGCGCUCGUGGCCGCCAGGGGGCGCCCGGGACCCCCGAGCCCAGAGCCGGCCUGGGCAGGUGCGGGGGGAGGGGAAGGGCCGGGUUCCUGUCGGGGUCCUGGCUUCCUCUCCAUAG